rnacentral:siRNA from 1 species
GGGCGCACGUGGGUGACUAUCCAU